ACGUUGAAGCAGCAGUUCCCGUACGACCACCUAAGUUAAGCAACGUCGAGCCUGGUCACUUAGAUGGGUGACCGCUUGGGAAUACCAAGCAC